rnacentral:lncRNA from 1 species
UCGGUUGUCACCGACGAAGUGCAGUCUGUGUGACCCUGUAAGGUCGAGGCCGCAGGCAACCUGACAUCAGGAAAAUUUUUCCCCCGGAACAAGAGAGAGUCAAGGAAGGAAGGGACAGAACCCCAGAAGAACGCAGCUCCGGGCCGGAAGUUCAGCUCCGGGCUGAACAGAGCUCCAGCAGGGCACAGCUCCGGCGGGACGCAGCUUCCGCGGAGGAGGAAGAAACCAGGGAGCCUCUCUCACGUAAACCCAGAAGCCUCAUGCCCCAAAGGGAAGCGGGACGCCAGAGGGUCCACUGCGACCAGUGAAGGUCUUAGUUGGGUGCAUUCCCUCCUCCCUACUGGGCGUCAGGAGCGAGCCGGAUGAUCACGGUCGCGUCCCCUGCUGGCAGCCCGAAGGGAGUUGGUGAGCCAGUGUGGGGGGGAAUUUACCUAAACCCGAUCAGUGGUGAGUGCAGGGAACCAGCGCCCAAAAAGACAGACAAGGGCGAAAUGUGUCGUUGGUGACAGCGGUGGUGGAGACGGGGCUCGGUUUUUUCGAGCACACUGUCUCCUGGGUUUUCGGCACCACUGCCAGACGCCGCACCGCACUGUGAUUGGGAGACACCACACGAUACAGAUCACCAGAAAGGUUCCACUUUAUUAUAAAAGGCUGUGUGUUUAUAUAGAUCUAAGGACAGGUAGCAGGGCUGAGGUAGAUAACAGGUUGCCCGUUUAUUGGCAAGCUCUUCCAUAUGUCAGUUCCUGAGCCCAAGAAGUUAAUUCUUAUUGGGGCUAGGCUUCCCAUCUGCAGGAUUUGAACAUUGGCGCCGGCAGGAACGUUUCGUGCCAGUGAAAGAAAAAAAGAGGAGAAAGAGGGUCGUUAGGUGCCAUGUUGGGGUUUUUCUCUGGGGUGCUGCUGCUGUUAUAUGUUUUCCCAACAGGAAGGAGCAUGGAUUCCUUACCACCAAGGGAACUUCAAUUACUAAUGCACCCUCUAUCUCCGAUCUCCUUCAAGCCUCAAAGUUUCCCACUGCCAUUGGAACUGAAAGAUGGCAGCUAAGUAACACCUUCCCCAGUGGGCACUUCCUUUCCUGACCUCUCUCCUUGUCAUAGGCCUUUUGCUAAUGCUUGCCCCCUGCAUCAUUAGAUUUAUUCAAGACCAGAUUCAAAGGGUCUCUAACCAAAUCAUGAAUCAGCUUCUGUUACAGGACUUCCAACCCCUCACCAAAGUGGGUUGUCUGGAGUCAGCAUCGCCUGGCACCUCCUGACCAUCACCAUUGCCUCAAUGACACAUCACAUUCCUAACAAGGGUCCAGAUACUGCCUCUUCUCAGCAGGAAGAAGUUACAGAAGAUUGAUCUACGCCCCUGUCCCUUAAGGGGCCCAAAAACAAACAAACAAAAAAAGGUGGUGGGGUGGAAUGUAAAGUCCUUGCUUGGCAUAUGGACAGUCAUCUUAAGGGACAGCCACCAUUUUAAGAAAAAUUUCACUUUCCCACUCAAGGGCCUUUCUGAGAAAGGCUCACCACUCCCUCAUACCAACCCCAAUCUUCACUACCCAAAUUAGGACCUGCCUGGCUCUAUUCCCUGAGCCUGCCCCAUAAAUGUCAUGGAACACAAUCCUGUAUUGCUUCUCUCCAUCUAUGGAUAGAUCACCUUUAGUUGUUAGUUCUGAAAAAUAAACUCCCAUGUGUAUCUCUGCCUG